rnacentral:rRNA from 1 species
UACGUAGGGUGCAAGCGUUAAUCGGAAUUACUGGGCGUAAAGCGUGCGCAGGCGGUUUUGUAAGUCUGACGUGAAAUCCCCGGGCUUAACCUGGGAAUUGCGUUGGAGACUGCAAGGCUGGAGUCUGGGCAGAGGGGGGUAGAAUUCCACGUGUAGCAGUGAAAUGCGUAGAGAUGUGGGAGGAACAACCGGAUGGCGCAAGGCAGCCCCCUGGGUCAAGAUUGACGCUCAUGCACGAAAGGCGUGGGGAAGCAAACGAGGAU